CAAGAAACCCUCCGCUCUACAAGGGGAUGUGUACUAACAGUUAUGCAUUAUAUCAAACAAUCGGGUCACAGCACACAAUAGGUUAGCCAUACACCUAAUGUACCGUAAACCCAUCAAGUACCUAUGUAUGCAUCAGCCAUGUAGAAAUCUCCAUAAGCAAUGCACCAGUGUAUCAGUUAAUAGAUGGUUUCAAAUACCAUAGUCAUUUUUUUGAUAAGUAAAGCAAUUGUAUUAAAAGCACCUAAAGUAUACACGAUGUAUACAAGGCCAAAAAAGGAGGGAUAGACAAAAAACAACGCCCUCGCUUCACUUGCAGCCUAAUCAAUCUAUGAAAUCUAAAAGGAAUAAAGAAGUAAACUCUAUGUGUACCCUAACCCACUCCAAAAACAUGUACAUGAAGGAGCAUAAAAUAGUAUGGUCUGUUAGUUCAGAAUCUUUAAAGGCUCUUUGGUUUCUCUCCUUCCAUAAGGUCCAAAAUAGGCACAAAGGCACAACUUUUCAGGCCUUCUUCUUCUUCUUCCCAACAAAGGCACCCCGCUAACUAAUGAAGGCAUCCUUGAUUGAGAACGACAUCACCCACUAAACAUCAAAUAUAGCCAAAAUAAGGUGCCACAACAUGCUUGCCUUAGGACAAUGAAGGAAAAUAUGGUUUGUUGACUCCUCUUCACCCUUAUAGAAAUAACAUCUAUUUGGAAGACUCCAACCCCUCCUUUUUAGUUAAUCCAAAGUUAGAAUUUUUUCCCAAACUACUUUCCAAGCAAAGGAGAUGACUUUCAUUGACACCCAAGGAUUCCACACCAAGCUUGUGGGGAAACCUUUUGAAUAACAACCUACAAAGGAGGAAUAGAAAGAUUUGACAAAAAAGGUGCCCUCCUUUGACAACCGCCAAACCAUAACAUCCUCUACUCCACUGAUCACAUGCUCUUACAAUCUUCUAAGCAACCCUUCCACCUCACCUAACUCCCAAUCAUUUAUUUGUCUUGUGAACACUGGAUUCCAACAACCAAUCUCCCCAACCUACUCCCACAUUUCAUCUACCUAAGCUUCUUUAUCAAUGGCAAUUGAAAACAAUUCUGGAGAAUUCACAGCUAAAGGUUCCUCCCUACACCACCUAUCUUUCCAAAACCUCACCCUCUUGCCAUCUCCCACCCUAAAGCCAAUCCUAUCAUUAAACCCCUUCCACAUCAAAUCGCCUUCCAAAGACCCACCCCAUAGCCUUUCUUAGAAAUUCUAGAACACCAUUGAUGGGGGAAAGCCUUUUAAAGUUUAUUCAAGGAGGAAGGGGAAGACCUAAGUAAACUUUAAGUAAGAUUAAUAUUAAUUAGAAUUGAAUUAGGAUUAGUAUUUGUUGGAGUCUAAUUAGGAUUACCUAGUUGAGUUAUAAUAUAAUUAGAAUUUGAGUCAUGAUAGGUUAUUAGAGUCUUAGUAGACUUUGGAUAUUAUAAUUAGAAUUACAAUUAUAAUAGGUUAUUAGAGUCCUAGUAGACUUUAGAUUUCUUAGAGAAGCCUAUAUAUAGGCUAAUUAAUGUAAAUCAAAUGGAUGGAUUGAUAUUAAUAAUAUUAUGUUUUCUUUCAUUGCAAGGUUGCAACCCUCAAUGGUGAGACUCCAUUGAUUUUCUUCUAGGUGAGACUCCUAGAAGGCCUUCAUGAGACUCUAAGGCUUUUGAUCUUUUCUUCGUUGUUUUUUUCUUUCUCUCUAUUUCUUAUAUUAUAUUUUUCUCUACCAUAAAAUUUAUUCAUUGUUCCUCUCCUUACACCCUAAAAAUAAAACCCUAGUCCACCUACCCUUGAGAGUAGGCAACCAUCCUAGGGUUGUCCUACAUCAAUUUUGGUAUCAGAGUCAAAGUUCUUGGCUUGAAGGCAUAUGCAAUUAAGGAGCCGAGCAACUUAUGCAAGCAUGAGUUCCAAAAAAACUUUUAGCAAUCAAGAUGCCGCUACAAUACGCUUGGAGGAAAUUUCAGCCACACAACAGUCCCAUCAAGAUGCUAUAAUACAACUAAAUAGCAAACUUGACGAGAUCAUGAAGUUAUUAGAAAAAAGUCAAGAAAAACGACCAAUUGAAGAAGAGAUUGCAAGUCAUCAAUUUAUACAAUCGCCAAGUCGAUCACGCGAAGAACAAAACAAUUUUAUGAUGGGGAAUCAAAGAAGGGCCAAACUUUUUGAGCUAAAUGAUGAUGUGACAAAAAAGGUACAUCUUGAAGUUGCUGAAUUUUAUGGAAAACUAAAUCCAACAGCUUUUCUUGAUUGGAUUAUGUCAAUGGAAGAUUACUUUGAUUGGUAUGCAAUGCCCGAAAAUAGAAAAGUUUGUUUUGUGAAGGCAAAGUUAAAAGGAGCAGCAUGUCUAUGGUAGCAUAAUAUUGAAAAUCAAGUUCAUAGAAUUGGCCAACCACCUAUUGACACCUGGGACGAGAUGAAGUUGAAGAUGAAAGUGCACUUUCUCCCAAUUGAUUAUGAACAACUUAUGUAUACAAAAUUGUUUUUCCUUAAACAAGGUACCAAGUCCGUUGAAGAAUAUACAAAACAAUUCCAUGAAUUGAGCAUUUGAAAUCAAGUACGGGAAAAUGAUGCUCAACUUGCAGCACGCUACAAAGUUGGACUUCGAAUGGAGAUUCAACUUGAGAUGAUAGUUGCACACACUUAUACCGUAGAUGAUGUUUAUCAACUAGCCCUCAAAUUUCGGGUUUCCAAGCAUCCAAGUUCACGAAUUGGGAGCACUUUCUCCAACAGGAAAGCAAGCAAAACUUUAAGCACAUCAAGCUUUAGAACUUCUAAUCACACGAAUGGUGGGGGCAACACUCAACGGACUUCGAAUGUGGCUCACAAGAAUGGUAAUAAGGGUAAAACUUCCAUGAGUAUUAGAGAUAGAAAAGUAAACGUGACUCCUUUAUGCUUUAAGUGUGGUGGGCAUGGUCAUUAUGUUGUUGUGUGCCCAACCAAAGGUUUACACUUUUGUGUUGAAGAACCAGAAUCUGAAUUGGAGAGUUACCCAAAGGAAGAAUAGACCUACAAUAAAGAUGAAGUUAGUGAAAAAUGUGACUACUAUGAUGGUAUGAUGGAAGGACAUAGUCUUAUAGUAUGACCUUUAUUAGUUGUCCCAAAGGUAAAAAGAGAAGAAGAUUAGCGAUGUACUAGCAUUUUCCAGACACGUAUUUCUUACCAAGGGAGAUUAUAUACCAUGAUCAUUGAUGGAGGUAGCAGUUUGAACAUAGCUUUGCAAGAACUUGUUGAGAAGCUAAACCUUAAAACAGAGAGACAUCUAAUCCAUUCAAAGUAGCAUGGGUUAAUGACACCUCUAUCUCGGUAAGUUUUCGUUACUUGGUAACAUUCCUUUUUGGUAAGGACUUUGAAGAGUCUGUAUGGUGUGAGGUCUUACCCAUAAAAGUAAGUCGUAUUUUACUUGGAAGACCUUGGCUUUUUGAUAGAAGAGUUCAACAUAACGGCUAUGAAAACACAUAUGCUCUCAUACACAACGAACGUAAGAAGAUCCUUCGUCCAAUGAAAGAAGUCCCUCCAAUUAAGAAGUCAGAGGAGACACAACCAAAAAAGGUAUUUACUAUGUGUCAAUUUGAAAAGGAGAGCAAGGAAACUAAAGUUAUUUUUGCUUUAAUGGCUUGGGAAGUGGAAGAAUUUAAAGAGCAAGAUAAGGAAUAUCCAAUAAACGUACGUAAAAUCCUUGAUGACUUUUCUAACUUGUGGUCUACAGAGUUACCUAAUCAACUUCCUCCUAUGCGUGACGUACAACAUGCCAUUGAUAUGAUUCCCGGUGCAUCAUUACCAAAUUUACCAGCCUACAGAACGAAUCCAACAGAACAUGUUGAAUUGAAAAGGCAAGUUGAUGAAUUACUUACUAAAGGUUUUAUUCGUGAAAGCCUAAGUCCUUGUGGAGUUCCUGCCCUAUUAACACCAAAUAAGGAUGGGUCAUGACGGAUGUAUGUGGAUAGUCGUGCAAUUAACAAAAUCACAAUCAAGUAUCGAUUUCCAAUUCCAAGACUUGAUGACGUGCUAGAUAUAAUGGUUGGAUCAAUAAUCUUUUCAAAGAUUGAUCUAAGAAGUGGAUAUCAUCAAAUACGUAUUAGACCAGGGGAUGAAUGGAAGACAUCUUUCAAAACUAAGGAGGGAUUGUAUGAGUGGUUAGUCAUGUUGUUUAGACCAACCAAUGCUCCAAGUACCUUCAUACGGGAUAUGAUGCAAGUAUUGAAACCUUUUAUUGGACGGUUUGUUGUUGUUUAUUUUGAUGAUAUUCUAAUCUAUAGUCGAUCUUGUAAAGAUCAUGAGGAAAACUUGAAGCAAGUAAUGCGCACUCUCAGGGCUGAAAAAUUUUACAUUAAUUAAAAAAAUGUACUUUCAUGAGCCCUAGUGUUGUAUUUCUAGGCUUUGUUGUGUCUUCUAAGGGUAUUGAAACAGAUCCAAAGAAGAUCAAAGCUAUUGUUGAUUGGCCAGUACCAACAAAUAUCCAUGAGGUGCGAAGCUUCCAUGGAAUGACUACAUUCUAUCAACGAUUUAUUUGAAAUUUCAGCUCUAUUAUGGCCCCGAUUACUAAAUGCAUGAAACCUAGUUUAUUUAUUUGGACCAAGGCGGCCAACAAGACAUUUAAAGAAAUCAAAUCCAAGAUGGUGAACCCUCCUAUCCUAUGUCUCUACCGAACUUUGAGAAAGCAUUUGAGGUGGCAUGUGAUGCUUCCCAUGUGGGAAUUGGAGCAGUUCUUAGACAAGAGGGACAUCUUGUGGCUUUCUUUAGUGAGAAGCUCAAUGGGGCAAAGAAAAAAAUACUUCACAUAUGAUCUUGAAUUCUAUGCGAUGGUGCAAGCAAUUAGACAUUGGAAACAUUAUCUCAAUUACAAGGAAUUUGUUUUGUAUUCGGAUCAUGAAGCCUUGCAAUAUCUUAAUUCUCAAAAGAAGUUUAACUCUCGACAAGCAAAAUGGAGUAGUUUUCUUCAGCUAUUUACCUUCAAUUUAAAGCAUUGUGCAGGAAUUGAAAAUAAAAUAAUUGAUGCCCUUAGUAGGAAGGCUCUUUUCUUAGUAAACAUGUCAGCCACUACAAUUGGAUUUGAAGAAUUAAAGCAUUGUUAUGACAAUGAUGCUGAUUUUGGAGAUGUUUAUUCCUCUCUUUUGAGUGGUUCAAAAGCAACAUGUAUUGAUUUCCAGAUUUUAGAAGGGUACUUGUUUUAUAAAAAUCGUUUAUGGUUACCAAGGACUUCCCUAUGUGAUCAUGUCAUAUGGGAAUUUCAUGGAGGUGGAAUGGGUGAACAUUUUGGACGAGAUAAGACCAUUUAUUUGGUGGAAGAUCACUUCUUUUGGCCUAGUUUAAAGAAGGAUGUUUGGAAGGUUAUCAAACAAUGUCGAGCAUGUCAAGUAGGAAAAGGUUCAAAGCAAAAUAUAGGGUUAUAUACACCAUUACCAAUUCCAUCCAAACCUUGGGAAGACUUGAGCAUGGAUUUUGUACUUGGAUUACCAAGGACACAAUGGGACUUUGAUUCUAUAUUUGUUGUGGUUGACAAAUUUCCCAAAAUGGCACAUUUUAUCCCAUGUAAGAAGACUUCGAAUGCUUCUCAUGUUGCUGCUACCUUGUUCUUUAAAGAAGUAGUUUGAUUGCAUGGAUUACCACAAUCCAUUGUUUAUGAUCGCAAUGUCAAGUUUAUGAGAUAUUUUUGGAAAACCUUGUGGGCCAAGCUAGGUACUCAAUUAAAAUUUUCAAGUUCUUUUCAUCCUCAAACUGAUGGACAAACAGAAGUUGUCAAUCGCAACCUUGGUAAUCUUUUGAGAUGCAUUGUGAGAGAUCAAUUGAGAAAUUGGGACAAUGUCUUACCACAAGCCGAGUUUGCUUUCAACAGCUCCACUAAUCAUACUACUAGGUACUCACCUUUUGAAGUGGCAUAUGGGCUGAAACCUAAGCAACCUAUUGAUCUUAUAUCAUUACCUACCUAUGUCCGCACCAACCAAGAUGGUGAUGCAUUUGCACGUCAUAUACGAGAUAUACAUGAAAAGGUACAAGAAAAAAUCAAACUCAGCAAUGAGAACUAUAAAGAGGCAGCAAGUGCACAUCGAAGAUAUAUUCAAUUUCAAGAAGGUGAUCUAGUGAUGGUUUGUCUACGUCCAGAAAGAUUUCAUCCGAGCACAUAUCAAAAGCUUCAAGCUAAGAAAACGGGUCCAUUUCGAGUACUAAAGCGGUUGGGUAAGAAUGUUUAUUUGUUAAAGCUCCCUUUAGACUUGCAUAUUAGUCCAAUAUUUAAUGUGGAAGAUAUGUGUAUCUACCAUGGCCAUCACAACGAUGUAAGUGAAGAGUUGGAUCUUCAAUUACCACCUACUCUUAGCCCACGUCCUAAGAUCGAGUAUGUUCUUGAUGAUCAACUUGUGUCUACUCAACAAGGUGGAUACCAAAAGUUUUUGGUGAAAUAGCAAGGCAAACCACACUCUGAAAACACAUGGAUUAUGACAAUGGAUUUUCAGAAGCUUAACCCCGAUCUCAAUGAAUUGUAUCAAUCAUCUAACUCGUCAGAGUUGAGUUCUUUCAAGUUGGGGGGAAUUGAUGGGGGAAAGCCUUUUAAAGUUUAUUCAAGGAAGAAAUGGAAGACCUAAAUAAACUUUAAGUAGGAUUAAUAUUAAAUAGAAUUGAAUUAAGAUUGAUAUUUGUUGGAGUCUAAUUAGGAUUACCUAGUUGAGUUAUAAUUUAGAAUUUGAAUCAUGAUAGGUUAUUAGAGUCCUAGUAGACUUUGGAUGUUAUAAUUAGAAUUAGAAUCAUAAUAGGUUAUUAGAGUCUUAAUAGACUUUGGAUUUCUUAGAGAAACCUAUAAAUAGGCUAAUCAAUGUAAAUCAAAGGGAUGAAUUGAUAUUAAUAAUAUCAUAUUUUCUUUCAUUGCAAGGUUGCAACCUUCAAUGGCGAGACUCCAUUGAUUUUCUUAUAG
rnacentral:lncRNA from 1 species